UGGCUCUCGCAUCGAUGAAGAACGCAGCGAAAUGCGAUAAGUAAUGUGAAUUGCAGAAUUCAGUGAAUCAUCGAAUCUUUGAACGCAUCUUGCGCUCCUUGGUAUUCCGAGGAGCAUGCCUGUUUGAGUGUCAUUAAAUUCUGUCAAAACAUGCACUUGAGUGUGUUUUGGAUUGUGGGAGUGUCUGCUGGCUUUAUGAGCCAGCUCUCCUGAAAUACAUUAGCUUUGGGGGGGAGGUGCCAAGUCACUUCUGCCUUUCCAUUGGUGUGAUAGAUGAAUUAACUUAUCUACGCCAGGAAAGCAGGCUUCAGGUGAUGCACUGUGAUCUCUCUCUGCUCUCUAAUUGACAUUUGUCUGAUAACUUGACCUCAAAUCAGGUAGGACUACCCGCUGA
rnacentral:misc_RNA from 1 species